AGUUAGGAAAUGCAAGGAUGUUAAUAGCGUUCUUGCUUGACUAAGGCUCCGGAGGAAGCCACGGCUAACUCUGUGCCAGCAGCCGCGGUAAUACAGAGGCGGCAAGCGUUGUUCGGAAUUAUUGGGCGUAAAGAGCACGUAGGCGGCUGUGUAAGUCGGUUGUGAAAGCCUUCCGCUCAACGGAAGAACGGCAUCCGAUACUGCAUGGCUUGAGUGUGGGAGGGGAGAGUGGAACUUCUGGU
rnacentral:rRNA from 1 species